rnacentral:rRNA from 1 species
GACAGAGGGGGCAAGCGUUGCUCGGAAUUACUGGGCGUAAAGGGCGCGUAGGCGGCCACCGCAAGUCGACUGUGAAAUCUCCGGGCUUAACCCGGAAAGGUCAGCCGAUACUGCGGGGCUAGAGUGCAGAAGGGGCAACUGGAAUUCUCGGUGUAGCGGUGAAAUGCGUAGAUAUCGAGAGGAACACCUGCGGCGAAGGCGGGUUGCUGGGCUGACACGUGACGCUGAGGCGCGAAAGCUAGGGGAGCGAACGGG